CUGGCGGCGUGCUUAACACAUGCAAGUCGAACGAAGCUCCUAAACCUGAGAUUCGUCAAGGGCGAGGGAUGACUUAGUGGCGGACGGGUGAGUAAUGCGUGAGCAACCUGCCCUUCAGAGGGGGACAACAGCUGGAAACGGCUGCUAAUACCGCAUAAAGUACAGAUGAGGCAUCUCGACUGUACCAAAGAUUUAUCGCUGAAGGAUGGGCUCACGUCUGAUUAGCUAGUUGGUGAGGUAAUGGCUCACCAAGGCUGCGAUCAGUAGCCGGACUGAGAGGUUGGCCGGCCACAUUGGGACUGAGAUACGGCCCAGACUCCUACGGGAGGCAGCAGUGGGGAAUAUUGGGCAAUGGGCGCAAGCCUCGACCCAGCAACGCCGCGUGAAGGAAGAAGGCUUUCGGGUUGUAAACUUCUUUUGGCAGGGACGAAGAAAGUGACGGUACCUGCAGAAUAAGCUCCGGCUAACUACGUGCCAGCAGCAGC
rnacentral:rRNA from 1 species